GGCCUCGUGGUGCAGUCGGUUAGCACGCCAGCCUGUCACGCUGGAGGUCGACGGUUCGAGUCCGGUCCGGGUCGCCA
rnacentral:tRNA from 1 species